UUUCAACAAUUUUAUGACAAUAUCUCAUCAUAAAUCAACCGGCAUAGCUGGUGAGGUACUGCAAUAAAGGACAAGGAAAUACAAAAGAAGUUCAUCACUGUGGCUCAUUUUUCAACAGUUGCUCUCUGUUUUCAGAUAUAAUACUCUAUGGGGCAUUUAGAUGAAUCAAACCAGACAUAUGAGAACUUGGAAUCAGAGAAUACAACAUCAAAAAAUGGAAAGAGGUGUGUAGCAUGUUGUCAUUGGGAAUAUUAAAUUGUUAAUGGUGUUGUAAAUGAAUGGAACAUUCAGUGAACAUUUUGACGGAAGUUUACAAAUGAACAU
rnacentral:lncRNA from 1 species